rnacentral:misc_RNA from 1 species
GCUGCUAAGCCACUGAGAGGGAGCUAAUAAAUAUUAAAAGUACAGUUAACUAAAAAUUGCUUCGAUCUGGGGGAAGCAUCUCGUUGUGAGUUUUGACUUUCGUUCAAAUUAUGUCUGUAUUUUCUGCUCGUUUAACUGUAUUUUCUGCUAAUGAGCACGAUCCAGGUUUCUUCUAAGAUGCAUUAGUUCAUUUAUAUCCUUAAAUUGAUCAAGAGUUUGGUGAACUAUGUG